UACGUAGGGCGCAAGCGUUGUCCGGAAUUAUUGGGCGUAAAGAGCUCGUAGGUGGUUUGUCGCGUCUGGUGUGAAAACCCAAGGCUCAACCUUGGGCUUGCAUUGGGUACGGGCAGACUAGAGUGCGGUAGGGGAGACUGGAAUUCCUGGUGUAGCGGUGGAAUGCGCAGAUAUCAGGAGGAACACCGAUGGCGAAGGCAGGUCUCUGGGCCAUUACUGACACUGAGAAGCGAAAGCAUGGGGAGCGAACAGG
rnacentral:rRNA from 1 species